rnacentral:rRNA from 1 species
GACGAACGCUGGCGGCGUGCUUAACACAUGCAAGUCGAACGGAAAGGCCCUGCUUUUGUGGGGUGCUCGAGUGGCGAACGGGUGAGUAACACGUGAGUAACCUGCCCUUGACUUUGGGAUAACUUCAGGAAACUGGGGCUAAUACCGGAUAGGAGCUCCUGCUGCAUGGUGGGGGUUGGAAAGUUUCGGCGGUUGGGGAUGGACUCGCGGCUUAUCAGCUUGUUGGUGGGGUAGUGGCUUACCAAGGCUUUGACGGGUAGCCGGCCUGAGAGGGUGACCGGCGACAUUGGGACUGAGAGAGGGCCCAGACGCCUACGGGAGGCAGCAGGGGGGAAUAUUGCACAAUGGGCGGAAGCCUGAUGCAGCAACGCCGGGUGCGGGAUGACGGCCUUCGGGUGGUAAACCGCUUUCGCCUGUGACGAAGCGGGAGUGACGGUAAUGGGUAAAGAAGCACCGGCUAACUACGUG